ACCACAUUCACUGGGUCCUGAUUGGUUUCAGGAGGGGAGGGGCGCUCACGUUGUCAUUUAUCCCUUAUAGGGUCCCGUGAAAUGGGUAUCACCCGGAUAAAGAGUGAGAGGUUCAGGGAGAAUCAGCAUGGAGGAGAGUGAUUGCCGAGCUUGGGACCUAGAUUCAUCACCACAGGGCUCUCUUCACUGAUGACAUUCUCAUACCGCCCGGGAGGACCUCUGAUGUUGAUGGGACUCGGGCUCCAUGCUGAAUGCUCUGCCGUGCCUGCUCCCUGGGUCACUUGCCCCUCACAACCAGCCUCUGCUCAGGAAAGGACAUUCCAUCAAGAGAAAGAAAAGACAUUCCAUCAGGAGCAAAGAGGUGAUGGAAUAGUUCCAAGAGAACCAAGGCUCAGAGGUGGAUGUGAAUUGUUUG